GACGAACGCUGGCGGCGUGCUUAACACAUGCAAGUCGAACGAGAAUCUAAUGACGGAGUUUUCGGACAACUGAUUUAGAGGACAGUGGCGGACUGGUGAGUAACGCGUGAGGAACCUGCCUUUCAGAGGGGGACAACAGUUGGAAACGACUGCUAAUACCGCAUGAUGUGUAACUGGGACAUCCCGGAUACACCAAAGAUUUAUCGCUGAAAGAUGGCCUCGCGUCCGAUUAGAUAGUUGGCGGGGUAACGGCCCACCAAGUCGACGAUCGGUAGCCGGACUGAGAGGUUGACCGGCCACAUUGGGACUGAGAUACGGCCCAGACUCCUACGGGAGGCAGCAGGUGAGGAAUAUUGGGUCAAUGGGCGCAAGCCUGAACCAGCCAAGUAGCGUGAGGGAAGACUGCCCUACGGGUUGUAAACCUCUUUUGUUUGGGAAUAAAGUGCGGGACGCGUCCCGCGAUUGCAUGUACCGAUUU
rnacentral:rRNA from 1 species